rnacentral:rRNA from 1 species
CCUACGGCGGGCUGCAGUGGGGAAUAUUGGACAAUGGGCGAAAGCCUGAUCCAGCCAUGCCGCGUGUGUGAAGAAGGCCUUCGGGUUGUAAAGCACUUUCAGUGGGGAAGAAAGCCUUGGGGCUAAUACCCUCGAGGAAGGACAUCACCCACAGAAGAAGCACCGGCUAACUCCGUGCCAGCAGCCGCGGUAAUACGGAGGGUGCGAGCGUUAAUCGGAAUUACUGGGCGUAAAGCGCGCGUAGGCGGUCUGAUAAGCCGGUUGUGAAAGCCCCGGGCUCAACCUGGGAACGGCAUCCGGAACUGUCAGGCUAGAGUGCAGGAGAGGAAGGUAGAAUUCCCGGUGUAGCGGUGAAAUGCGUAGAGAUCGGGAGGAAUACCAGUGGCGAAGGCGGCCUUCUGGACUGACACUGACGCUGAGGUGCGAAAGCGUGGGUAGCAAACAGGAUUAGAUACCCUGGUAGUC